rnacentral:rRNA from 1 species
UGCCAGCAGCCGCGGUAAUACGGAGGGUGCAAGCGUUAAUCGGAAUUACUGGGCGUAAAGCGCGCGUAGGCGGAUACUUAAGUCGGGUGUGAAAGCCCCGGGCUCAACCUGGGAACUGCAUUCGAUACUGGGUAUCUAGAGUAUGCUAGAGGGGGGUGGAAUUUCAGGUGUAGCGGUGAAAUGCGUAGAGAUCUGAAGGAACAUCAGUGGCGAAGGCGACACUCUGGGUUGAUACUGACGCUGAGGUGCGAAAGCGUGGGUAGCAAACAGGAUUAGAUA